GGGGGCCCACACUUGCGUCCAUGCGCACGGCCCAACCAGCACUGACAAACGCAGAACAGGCGACAGGAAAGGCAAGUCUGUUCCACCACUGGCGCCGGGAACGGGGAGUCCCGUGCAGUCACGAGACCAGGCCCCGCCCCCUGAGUGGAAAAUAAACUCGGGAGUGUGUGAAAGCUGGCAGCGGGGGACUGGCAGAGUCUGGAAGGCAGCGAGGGCGAGGGCGGAGGUCCAGAGCCAUGACGGCAGCGCGGGCUGAUGCAGAGAGCCCAGUGCGAGCCAGGGUGCGAGCCGGACGGUGCCCCUCGGGGCCCUGCACUGCGCAGAAGCGGACAGACAAGACCCAGCACUGCGGGGACCAGCCCCGGGUGAGCAGGCCUGGUGCAGGGUGCCAGAGAGCACGAGAAACGCAAGAGAAAGAGCCCGGGGCCGGGGGGCCCACAGCCGGGCGGGCCGAGAGCUGCUGCGGACAGCGAGUGCCGGGACGGCAACACUCUGGGCGGUACCGACCCAGUCGCCAUCGGGACCAGCGGGGCAGACCUUUACCGACCCGAGGGCUCCAGCUCAGCAACUCGAAGGGCUUUCUCCGGGGGAAGCUCUCCCGGGAGGGGGGCAGAGACGGGGAACUCUGGCCCUGCCAGUUCCAGCAUCUGGGGUCUGGUUCCCAGCGUGAAACAAGGCGGGUCAGGGCGGCACCUACCGCGCUGGGGUGAGGGUCCGGCCGGAAGCCGGCCCCAGGGAGCCGGGGCCAGGCCGGGGGUCAGUGUCCAGGCUGGGCUGGCUCAGGCAGCCCCUGCACUCGCCUCCUGAGGCGUGGCUCCCUGCCACCCCCACAGCCCCGACCCUCCCCGCCAGAGCCCCCCCUGCUCUGGCCUGUGCCUGCCUCCUGCAGCCACAGGCCCAACCCGCUCCUCCUCGCUCCCAGGUCCGGAAACUCCAGACCCCACUGUCCCAGGCCCGUACCCGGACACUCUGCCGACCCCCAGAGCUGAGCCCCCUGGCCCGAGGGGCAGGAGACGCCUCCGGUGGCCGGCAGUCCCGGCUGCAGGGAUGAGGCGUGCGUCGGGGGGGUGAGUGUGCGCCAGGCAAGCAGAGGGCCCUGUCUUUCGGCCCUGGGCCCAGGCGCACAGCACGGCUGGGCGUGACAGAGAGUUUAAGAGAAAAGAUAUUUUCUCUUAAUAUCCCCCCCCGCCCCUCCUCCCAGCCCCCACCGAGAAGGCUCAGCUGGUACGGCUGAGAUCACACAGGGGCUGGGCAGGAGUGGGGGGCCCAGACCAGGGGGUCCCGGCGGCCUCUUCAGUGACCCACCACACACGUGGUACCCCAGCUCCCGGCCACCCCCGGGUAUUCCCACGCUCCAAAGUAAGGUGGGAGAGGAUCUGUCAGGGGUCUCAGCAGCGAAUGGAAGAAGCCAGCUGAUGGCAAAGCCGCUGGCCAGACCCACACACCUGGGCCCCGGGAGCCCUGACCCUGUCCUGGAAGGACUCCGUCCCUCCCCUCCCAGGGCUCCUUCCUCCUUCCUCUUCCUCUCCAGAGCAGACUCUACCCUGGGGGGAUGACGCUGGGAGUAGCCCAAGAGAUCAAUCUCUGAGCCCAAGGCUCAGAGCUGUGUCCCCACCUCCUCCCCCCGCACCCGGUCGUCCGGUCCCUGCCAGGUCCCGCAGGGGUGAGAAAACGUUCUAGAAGUCCAUAUCACGCACUCCUCUCCCCUCCCGCAUCAGGUCCUGGUCCUGGCCUUCACCCCCCUGCACCCUGAGCGAACCACGCCCCCCGCCGUGAGCUGGCGCGCAUCCACCUCCGCAUGGGCAAGGGGAACCGGCAGCCGAGCCCCGCGGGAGCGCGGCGUCACUCCCGCAGAGGGCUCCGCGCCGGGAACUUUCCCGGAGGGGCUGGGGGCGCCCGCGGGGAUGCCCACGCCAGGGCCGGCGCGAGCCGGCGGCCACCGGCACUCCAGACGCGGAGGCGAAUGACAGCGGCGCCGGUGAGUUUCCAGGGAGUCUGUGCCAGGAACUCGGGGGUCCCAGACACUCAGCAGGUCAUCGGCACCGACAGCCCAUCCACAAGCCCCGGACUGGCCACGUGCCAGCAGGAGGGUCCCGGGGGACAGUGCCCGACCCUGCUUCCACCGGGAAUGCUCCCUGUCAGGACUCUGCUCAGCGCGUGCCUGUGAAUCGGUGCUCUCCGGAGCAAUGUUUACGCAGCUCAGACAGGCUGAGCGUGGUUGGAGCCAAGACCGGAGAUACGGCGACGGAGAAGGACCCCGGGGAGGGCGCCCCCUCUCGAGUGGCUGGCCCGGGGCCCAGCCCUGCACCCCUCAGAGCCCCACAGACCCCCAGGAGUGACCCCGAGCACCAGUGGGCGAAAGCCCCCCAAACACAUCUACAGAGCUGAGUCGCAGAAACACACUUUCCAACUUACAGGGUCUCCUUCA